ensembl:misc_RNA
UUGCUGCUCUGGAAACCGACAUCCUCUCCCCACACAGAACAGACACAACAAGGGUGGUGGCAGAACAGCUUUCCCCUCAAUCUCAAUCUGGAGGGAUUAUCUCCAAGGGUGAGAGGGUAAUUCAGUCCCCAUGGCCCAAUCAGCCCUUGACCUCU